UACGAAGGGGGCUAGCGUUGCUCGGAAUCACUGGGCGUAAAGCGCACGUAGGCGGCUUUCUAAGUCAGGGGUGAAAUCCUGGAGCUCAACUCCAGAACUGCCUUUGAUACUGGAAAGCUUGAGUUCGGGAGAGGUGAGUGGAACUGCGAGUGUAGAGGUGAAAUUCGUAGAUAUUCGCAAGAACACCAGUGGCGAAGGCGGCUCACUGGCCCGAUACUGACGCUGAAGCACGAAAGCGUGGGGAGCAAACAGG
rnacentral:rRNA from 1 species